AAGAUACAUGGAUUUCUAUUUGUGACAAGUUAAGAUGUUUUGCGUGUCCGUUGUUUGUUAAAGACAAAAACAGAUGCGAAAUCUCUUAAUCUGCAACUCGAGAUAUCAGGUCGAGAUGCGAUUCUGGUUUUUUCACAUUUUUGUUUGUGGUUCGUGGUAAUAACAUUUUGAAGAUUUUACGGAACCCAAUCUUAGAGCCGAAUUGGAAGCCUGGCUCGUUACUGCAUAACUUCAUCCAUUUGUGUGACGGAUAUCUAAAUCUGUCCACCCCUGAUUCCAAAUUACAAAAAUAUGGAUGUGGCAUUACGAAGUAUAGAAAUAGCAUGUAAGUCUUUUUUCAAAUAUCUUCUAUCCUUUUCUUGUUAUUAAAGAGGAUUUUAUUUUAUUUGGAAAAUAAUAAUGAUACAUAAUUUUUCAUGCUCGAAGCGAAUGAUUUCCUUGAUUUCAAUUUAUCAACGAAAACUAUACUACCACUUUAAAAUUAAGCAGUAUACUUUGAAACACGAAAUCGAAAUCCGUACCUAUCGAUUUAUUUUUUGUUGCAUAUUUGUAUAGAUCUGUGGUGGGCAAACAUUUUUAAUGGCGGGCCACAAAGUUUCAGAAAUUCUAGGGGAGGGCCAGAAUUAUAGAAAAAAUGCAUGCAUAUGAAGCAAUGCAUAUUAGAUUUUAUUUUACGCGCAAAAAUACUGACUAGAAUGUUUAGGAUGGAUGGAUUCUCGGCGGGCCGGAUUAAAUACUUCCGCGGGCCGUACUUUGCCCGUCACUGGUAUAUAUGAAGGAACUCAUAGGCGGCUUGUUGUAAAGUGGUUAUAGAAGCCCAUAGAUAUCAUAUCGUGAACGCCACUAAUUUUGAGACUUAAAAUCUUGAGACAAGUCUCAAUUGACGCCUGUUUCAUCUGUCCCCAUGCGAACUGAUACGUCCUACCAUUAAAUGCUGAAUUGUGAUCGCAGUAAGCUGAUUAAGACUCGGAAAACGCUGACGCCAAUUCCACAAAAGCCUUAGUUACGUUUUAAAACACCUACGGAAAGAUUUGGAUUGGCUUAUUCUGUUCUAUUCUAGUAUGUUUUAGACAAAAACAACAAAACCUGCUACGACACGAAUUGUACUCAUAAGCAACAUAUCUGCCGUGUUUCCAACAUCCAAGCUAUAGGUCAAUUGACCUAACCUUCACACGUGUUGCGUAUUCACGUGCGGACUUUUUUUAAACCAAGCAAGGAUCUGAAUGAGGACACAUCAAUUGAUAGAAUGAUUCUGUAGCUAUAAAUGGAGGUAUUGUCGGUUUAAAUGACACGAAAUGAUCAAUCAGUUCUUCUUGAAACACUUAGGUACCUUUGAAGGACUCAAAUUGCUUAAAUUCAUAUGACUGUUAUUACUGUAGUCUAUUACAUAUACAUUACACUAUAUAUGAAUAACUCAAGCAUAAGGACAAGGAAAGAGCUGAUAGAAUGAAAUUAUUUUAGGCAACUUUAACAGCUUACAAGUCCCGUGAUCUUUGAUUUUGAUAUCUCAUAUCAUGACGUAAAAAAUGUUUACCACUGCCAAACAUUGUGGGCCGAAUAUUUUAGACUAGCUUUUGCUCGCGACUCCAUCCACGUGGAAUAGUUACUUUGGCAUAACGCUAAAUUUUACCCCCCACUUCAUUUACGUAGAAAGUGAAAAUAUUUUUGAAUUCUGGAAUAUUAAGGAGCUAUCUAACACUGAAAGAAUUUGUUAAAUCGGACCAGUAGUUUCUGACAUUAGCGCGUUCAAACUCUCUCUCAACAACAAACUCUUCAGCUUUAUAAUAUUAGUAUAGAUUUAACAAAACAAAACACAAUCUGUAGGCAGCGGCUUGGCCCUGCCCCUGAUAUUGCUGACGUCUAUGAGCGACGGCAACCAUUCACCAUCAGGCGAGUCGUAUGCUCGUUUCCUUGCAAAAUAAAAAAUCACAUAAAAACACCCAAAAAAAAAUAUCACUUAAUAUUAAUCGAAAUGAUGUUUUGACAAAUGAAUAACAACAAAAUGAUUAACUGUGUGAACUCAUUAUCUUAAAUUGCGUUGAUAACGACGUUUCACGUCACCGAACAUAUGACCAUGAAAUCGUACCAACAAGAUGUUAGGGUUCGCUCAUAGAGUUACUAUUCUAACUGGAGUGCUUACUUCGUUUGACAUAAUAACUAAAAAUAUACUUUAUCUCUAUGGCUUAAAGUUUAUUUUUAAAUAGCAAAAGAUGUAAGGAAAAACGGUCUGAAAAGAGAAUGAUUAUUAAGUGGUGGUGUCCCUCUCGCACAUUUUACAAACAAAAAGCAGUGUUGCUAGCUUAGGGGAUUUUCCGUAAAAUCUCGGAAUUUGGACCCCCGUCUUAGUUAUCAAAAAUGGCUUUUAGUGGUUAGUGGAUUUUUUAGUAGCUUGGGCGUUGUUGAAAAUUAUCGAAAAGGUUAAAAUCAAUCCACUUUACAGGAUUUUAAACAUUUUAUGACAAUAAUAUAUCUAAAUACAUAUUAUUUAAACGAUGUGACUUAAACUUAACUAGAAAAUGUUGCGACAAUUUAGAAUUUCCAUCAACGUCAAUAAUUAAAUUGGUUCAAAAUAAACGUACAAAGUUAUGGUGAAAUUAGUUUCUGAUGAUGACAAUUUAUUAAAAUAAAUUAUAUAAGAAGUAUUGAUUAUAUGAUAUAUAUUGAUUUUUAAUAGAACAUCAUGUAUUAAUAAAGCUCAUUAACAAAAAAAAUAUUGUUCUAUAUUAAUAAGAACUCUGUUUAAUGGAAAAUGUAAUGGUAGGUACGUAGAUUUCUGAUGGUUUUCAUGUUGAAUUUGGUGGGAAGCCAGAUUAAUUGUUGGCAUCACCGAAAAAGAGCUAUGAAUGGAUUAAAAGAAAAAUGGCGUCUAUUUACGUUUGUAGUGCGAAGUUAAAAUGGCACUGAUACAGCUUGUGGCUUGUUUUUUUUCGAAAAUCGUGAAACUUUCCGUGUAAUCAUGGUGAACACUUUUAAUGUAAGUGGUUUUAAGCGAGAAUCCUCUCCAGUUUGUGGAAUAUCCUUCCAUAUGUCAGAUUCAUUGAUAAAUUUUUACUAGUGUGAGCAUAUAUUUUUAAAAUGUGAGAUAUUUUUUCUCAUUAUAAUAUUUAAUACCAUUUGUCUUGUAAAUUGUACUUAAUCUAUGUCAUAUACUAAAUUUGAAAAAACAAUCGUGAAAACUAUAAUUUUGCAAUGUAUUUUUUAUAUUAUAAGAGCCAUCACGUAGUAUUUUUUGAACUUUUUUUAUUGUAUUGAAUAGCGUCGCACGCAAGCAUGUAUAUCAUUUGCCUGACGUUAAGCCAACGAGGAGGAUCUUCUAGUAAAUAUGACGUUGGAAUUUCUGGAAAAUGUUCUAUAUAAAGGUCAAACAAGAAGAAUCAAGUACUCAAACGCAAGAAAUAAAAAAUACCCCGAGAAAAGCAAAAUUACGACAAGAUGUUAAGGUAUUGAAACAAAAACUUAAAAGCCGCGAAAUAGUGAUUGUAAAUAUAAAGUCGAUUUUAGAUUUAUUAAAGAAAAAUGGCGAUUUUUAAUUGAAUUGAAAUUUAAAUUGCGAAAUUUUAAUGAUACUCAUGGUCCACUUAGAUAUUGAUUAAAAUAAAUUAUGUAUUUCGUUGAAAAAAAAGAAUUUACUUAAAAUAGAGGAAAUGUUAUAUUAUAAGACUACAGAAAAUUAACUGAACUUAAUAAUAAUAAUAUAACCAAUAUUUUGUAAAUAGACAUCAAGUACUAUGUGUAUUGUGUUAUGUGUAUUGACUUGUCAUUUAAGAGUUAUUUAAUUGUCUACAUAUAACAAAUAAAUGAAUUUCAGUUCAUUUCAUUUUAUUA